CAGACAACGCACUUAAAGCGAGCAAGGGUCAGAAUUUCGCAGCCGGAGAAAUGGGCUUUUGGAGGAACCAGGCAAAGGAUGAUUUCUCAAUCACUCCCAGCGCCAUUAAGUGGGGAAGUAUAAAGUCGAUUGACCGUAUUGAAGGCUUCGUUACUCCAAAGGAUUUUGACCGAGAAUGGUCUUGUCCUCCUGCGAUUGGAUAUGACACGAGCUGGAGCGAAACAACGACAGUCAAGAUGAGUUUCCCUCGCGUCGAAGGAUCAUCAGUUGAAUAUCGCUGCAACGAGCCCUACGUGAUAGAAGGUCCAGAUGGAAUCCUGAAGGACCACAAUACGUCCAAAGGAGAAGCUGUUUGCCGAAGAGCGACUGAAGGAGGUGAACUCACCUGGAGCGAAAUCCCGGAGUUACCU